rnacentral:rRNA from 1 species
GAUGAACGCUCGCUGUGUGCCUAAUACAUGCAUGUUGAACGGGAUGUAGCAAUACAUUCAGUAGCGAAUGGGUGAGUAACACGUACCUAACCUACCUUUAAGACUGGGAUAACUAUUGGAAACAAUAGCUAAUACCGGAUAUAGUUAUUUAUCGCAUGAUGAGUAAUAGAAAGGAGCUUCACAGCUUCACUUAAAAAUGGGGGUGCGGAACAUUAGUUAGUUGGUAGGGUAAUGGCCUACCAAGACGAUGAUGUUUAGCCGGGCCGAGAGGCUGUACGGCCACACUGGGACUGAGAUACGGCCCAGACUCCUACGGGAGGCAGCAGUAAGGAAUUUUCCACAAUGAGCGAAAGCUUGAUGGAGCGACACAGCGUGCAGGAUGAAGUUCUUCGGAAUGUAAACUGCUGUUAUAAGGGAAGAAAAAAUAGAAUAGGAAAUGAUUUUAUCUUGACGGUACCUUAUUAGAAAGCGACGGCAAACUAUGUGCCAGCAGCUGCGGUAAUACACAGGUCGCAAGCGUUAUCCGGAAUUAUUGGGCGUAAAGCGUCCGUAGGUUUUUUGCUAAGUCUGGAGUUAAAUGCUGAAGCUCAACUUCAGUCCGCUUUGGAUACUGGCAAAAUAGAAUUAUAAAGAGGUUAGCGGAAUUCCUAGUGAAGCGGUGGAAUGCGUAGAUAUUAGGAAGAACACCAAUAGGCGAAGGCAGCUAACUGGUUAUAUAUUGACACUAAGGGACGAAAGCGUGGGGAGCAAACAGG